rnacentral:rRNA from 1 species
UGAGGAAUAUUGGGCAAUGCCCGAAAGGGUGACCCAGCAACGCCGCGUGGAGGAUGAAGGUCGUAAGAUUGUAAACUCCUGUUAGAGGGGAAGAAUAACUAAGUUUGGAGCUUAGUAUGACUGUACCCUCGGAGAAAGCCCCGGCUAACUACGUGCCAGCAGCCGCGGUAAUACGUAGGGGGCAAGCGUUGACCGGAUUUACUGGGUGUAAAGGGCGCGCAGGCGGAAUGGAAAGUCAGUGGUGAAAUCCUACAGCUUAACUGUAGAACUGCCUUUGAUACUUUCAUUCUUGAGUUCGGGAGAGAGAGACGGAAUUCCAGGUGUAGUGGUGAAAUACGUAGAUAUCUGGAAGAACACCAGUUGCGAAGGCGGUCUCUUGGUCCGAUACUGACGCUGAGGCGCGAAAGCGUGGGGAGCAAACA